rnacentral:rRNA from 1 species
CGUAGGGUGCGAGCGUUAAUCGGAAUUACUGGGCGUAAAGCGUGCGCAGGCGGUUUAGUAAGACAGGCGUGAAAUCCCCGGGCUCAACCUGGGAACUGCGCUUGUGACUGCUAAGCUAGAGCACGGCAGAGGGGGGUGGAAUUCCACGUGUAGCAGUGAAAUGCGUAGAGAUGUGGAGGAACACCAAUGGCGAAGGCAGCCCCCUGGGUCGAUACUGACGCUCAUGCACGAAAGCGUGGGUAGCAAACAGGAUUAGAUACCCUGGUAGUCCACGCCCUAAACGAUGUCAACUAGGUGUUGGGAGGGUAAAACCUUUUAGUACCGGAGCUAACGCGUGAAGUUGACCGCCUGGGGAGUACGGCCGCAAGGUUA